UGUACUGGUGUCAGUCUGAAUCUGGAGAGAACUAUCAUCCUGUUAAUAUCACUGUACACUCUGGUGUGAUUCUGGAGAGUCCUGUUCAUCCUGUGACUGAAGGAGAUAAUCUGACUCUAUGCUGUUUAUAUCAAAAUACAAGCUUAAUUCUCAGAGCUGAUUUCUAUAAAGAUGGAUCACUCAUCCAGAAUCAAACUACAGAGAUGAUCAUCUCUAAUGUCUCAAAGUCACAUGAGGGUUUCUACUACUGUAAACACUCAGAGAGAGGAGAGUCACCCAAGAGCUGGAUCUCAGUCAGAGCUUCCUGGGCCUCAAGAUCUGAAGGGUUCAAUCUCAUGAUAAUUGGAGUGACUGCAGGACUGAGCGUCACAUUUUUGAUCAUUGUCUUCUUGGUCCCGCUGUGGCGCUACAGAAACAGCAAAGGUCCAACUUCUGCCAUAUUAAAAUUCAGUGGCACAUUUGCAGACACUACGGUCUGUUAGCCAUCCUACGUCAGUCUAAGAUGGCUAUCGGGUCUUAGCUGGUCUCCCGACCUGGUAAAGCUGGUAAAUUGGCUAGUUUUAAAAGGUUUUGGGGUAGUUUUCAGACUGGGAGACCAUUUUAGUGAGUGUUGCUUCAUCAGUGUUCCAAAUUAGCCAUUUAUGUAUGCAAUAAGGAGAUCAGAAGACUUUUUUUUCUCUCUCUCUCUCUUUACUGACCCCAUAUAUUUCCUCAAAAUAUUUACAUAAUCACUUUAUGUUACCUUAGGUGUAAGAUC